CCGCGCGCGGCGGAGGGGAGGGGGGGUGCGGUCGCUGGCUGCCGCCGCGGCGCAUGCGCCAGUGGGCGGUGCGGGUGGCGGAGCGGCGCGAGGAGCGAUUUCUAAUCGGUACAAGCGGCGGCGGGGGCUGGAGGAGAGCGGGGCUUCGGGGCUGUUCCCCCGUAGCCAGCCUCGCGGGAGGGUGAGGAGAAGCCGGGGUGGGGGGAGCUGCUCUUGUUUCCGUCCUCCCUCCCUGCCCGUCGGCCAGGCGGUGUGAGCCCGCGCGCCGCGGGAGCCGUUUAACGGCCGCCGUCGGUCCCGGAGGGGUGCGGAGCGGGCUGGGGUUGCUGCCGCCGCUGGAGGUGGAGGUGGAGGCGGUGGCGGCCUGGCCGUACGCACAUCCCUUCCUCCCGCACCCCCGACUCGGGAGCGACGGCGGCUGCCGUCCAGUUCCGUGCCCCGGCCGGGAGGCCCUCCCGAUUGGGAGCCACCGGUGUGUUCGGGCCGCGGCGCUGCCUUCCCGCCCCGGCGGCGGCAGGCGAUAAAAGAUCAUUUUUGGGGGUGGUUUUUUUUUGGUUUGGUUUUUUGGUUUGGUUUUUUUUUUUUAAUGGUUACAGGGCAGCGCCGUGUUUUGGCAUCAGCCGUGGCCCGUGUGGCGGGUGUGGAUGGGAGCCGUGACGGGAGCAGCGGUGCCCGGCAGCUAGAACCAAAAUUCCCGUGCUCUCUCCAUCCACUGCAGCCGCAGAGGCAAAGCAGCGCGACGCGGUUGCCUAGAACGGCAGAAAACCAUGAGGAGGGAAAGAAAAGCAAUCUGAGAAAGCAUAGAAGAGAAAAAAUUAUCAGCAAUUAG
rnacentral:lncRNA from 1 species